rnacentral:rRNA from 1 species
ACGGAGGGGGCGAGCGUUAUUCGGAAUUAUUGGGCGUAAAGGGCGCGUAGGCGGCUUGACAAGUCAAAGGUGAAAUCCCUCGGCCUAACCGGGGAACUGCCUUUGAAACUGUUUGGCUUGAGGCCGGGAGAGGGUGGUGGAAUUCCCAGUGUAGCGGUGAAAUGCGUAGAUAUUGGGAGGAACACCAGUGGCGAAGGCGACCACCUGGACCGGUUCUGACGCUGAGGCGCGAAAGCGUGGGUAGCAAACAGG